AGUCAAGCUCAAUAUUGCAUGGGCAAAGUGUGUUAGGAGUUUGGCUUGGUGUGAAAGAAAUUUGCAACCUUUCUCAACCCGUUCAACUCAGAUUCAUAAACACUAAUCAGAGUGCAAACGGAGUCUGUGUCUACUGGCAUCUUGAUAAAAAUGGCAAAGCUAACUGGAGUACUGAUGGCUGUAAUACUACCAUCGACAGAGGAGACUUUGUGUGCAGUUGUAAUCAUCUGAGCUUUUUUGCAGUGCUCAUUGAAAAGGCUCCAGAAAUAUUCCAAAUGUGUAUCUGAGUUCAGGAGGGUUGCUCAAGUUCAGUCCAUAUAUCAGUCCCAUCAACAUGGGUGUAAACUUCUAGGUCCUGAAGAACUUUAUCUUCCAACACUCCAACAUCUGCUGGACUGUC